GAUGAACGCUGGCGGCGUGCCUAAUACAUGCAAGUCGAGCGAACGGACGAGAAUCUUGCUUCUCUGAUGUUAGCGGCGGACGGGUGAGUAACACGUGGAUAACCUACCUAUAAGACUGGGAUAACUUCGGGAAACCGGAGCUAAUACCGGAUAAUAUUUUGAACCGCAUGGUUCAAAAGUGAAAGACGGUCUUGCUGUCACUUAUAGAUGGAUCCGCGCUGCAUUAGCUAGUUGGUAAGGUAACGGCUUACCAAGGCAACGAUGCAUAGCCGACCUGAGAGGAUGAUCGGCCACACUGGAACUGAGACACGGUCCAGACUCCUACGGGAGGCAGCAGUAGGGAAUCUUCCGCAAUGGGCGAAAGCCUGACGGAGCAACGCCGCGUGAGUGAUGAAGGUCUUCGGAUCGUAAAACUCUGUUAUUAGGGAAGAACAUAUGUGUAAGUAACUGUGCACAUCUUGACGGUACCUAAUCAGAAAGCCACGGCUAACUACGUG
rnacentral:rRNA from 1 species